AGCGAACGCUGGCGGCAGGCCUAACACAUGCAAGUCGAACGAACUCUUCGGAGUUAGUGGCGGACGGGUGAGUAACACGUGGGAACGUGCCUUUUGGUUCGGAAUAACUCAGGGAAACUUGUGCUAAUACCGAAUGUGCCCUUCGGGGGAAAGAUUUAUCGCCAUUAGAGCGGCCCGCGUCUGAUUAGCUAGUUGGUGAGGUAACGGCUCACCAAGGCGACGAUCAGUAGCUGGUCAGAGAGGAUGACCAGCCACACUGGGACUGAGACACGGCCCAGACUCCUACGGGAGGCAGCAGUGGGGAAUCUUGCGAAAUGGGCGAAAGCCUGACGCAGCCAUGCCGCGUGAAUGAUGAAGGUAUUAGGAUUGUAAAAUUCUUUCACCGGGGACGAUAAUGACGGUACCCGGAGAAGAAGCCCCGGCUAACUUCGUG
rnacentral:rRNA from 1 species